AGUCUUUUGUAUCAGUGCUGAGAUUUCGUCAGCUAUCAACUCGCUGGCACUGACUGAUGCAACUUCACAAAUAAGUGAAGCG
rnacentral:pre_miRNA from 1 species